rnacentral:lncRNA from 1 species
ACAUUCUCCCCCGGCUCCGGAUGGCGCUCCUGGAAGCUCUGCAACUAGGCUCCACUUCAAAUGGGGAGGGUAGACCUGAAGCUUUCUUCUUUGUACACACUGACACAAGACUGCUGCUUCAUUGAUUCUUGAGCAAGGGGAAUAAUGGAAGAAAGCCACUUUUUGUUGUUAAAGCGAGGUAGCAUUUCUGCUGUAGUUAGAAAGAGCAUUGUCUCUCAAGUGUCCCAAAUUCACUUCCAUUAAACAGUCAAUGUGAUAACUGUCUGUGACAUGUUCUAUUAUCUUUCUAGUUGUUCGGAUGUUCCUUUCAGCUGGUCCUAUAGCCCCCUUUCUCAGUAAUGUCUCCCCAGUGAAAGGAAAAAGACUGCAGAGGCUUCAGACUGACGGACGCUCAUGCCAACUGUGAAGUUGAAACAAAGCAAGUGACCAGCUGAAGAGGCCCCUCCUGCCCAGCAGCCACCCACAUGCAGUUGCAGCCAGUAGUAAUCUUUGCAAGAAGCAGAGAAACCCAGAACACGUAUGAGUCAAAACCAUCCCCUUCCUUGUGUGUGUAUCCCUGUCUCGUUCAAAUUGGUGUGCCUUCCAUUUGGAUCCUGGUAUGAAUAUGCUUGUUACUGUGUAAAGGCAACUUCGCCCAAAUGUGUUAAUGUAUGAAGAGACUGAAUUUUUUUGUGGGGGGGGGAGAGUUAUUUUUAUCAAAACACAGUGUUCGUUAUUGACAGUGAUCUAGAAAAUGAAAAGCAGUUGGAAAAGACAGCAAAGCAGUCACAGGCGAUCCACAGAGAUGCUCACACCACCACACAGAAACACCACAUCAUGCUCCCAGACUCUGAGCAGGGAGCGAGACUCUGUGACAUACUGUGGCUGCCGCCAAGGGUCAACAGCAAGCCAGACACAGGUGCAGAAGCUACCUCAAGUGUAGUGAUAAACUGAGUCAGGAGACAAUAAGAACAGCAACGACACAAAAGACAAUGUCCUUGGAGGGGGCCAAGUGGGUUUGCUUAAGGAAGGAUGCUCCCUUAAAGAGAGAAUAGGAAAUCAACCUUUAAAGGAUGUAAAAACAAAACUAGAUAAAUGGGAAGAUAGGAGAACAUCGAGUCCUUAAUGCAAACAUAAGGGUAAGCAAUGGAUGGGCAGAGGAAAUCCACAUGGUGAGUCUUGGAGACUACACAUAUCUCAUCUUGAUUUUGCCUGACACUUGGAACCGCUGUCUGUGUGUCUAGUAGAGAUGCUGCACACAGGCACCUCCCCUCCCCCACCCCAAAUGUCCCCUAAACUGAACUAGAACUAAAGUUCCAGUUCUGUGUCACUACAAAGAUUGGUUGGUGAUCCCUGAAUAGAAUUCAUGAUUCUUCUGUUCGUGAUUGCUUCUUACCAAAUUUAUUCCAUACAGGAAAUGUUUAGCAUAUUAAAUCUCAUGGUUGCUAUGAAAAUGACACAUUAUCCACCUUUCACAGGUAAAGAAACUGAUUUUGGUGAGGCUGAGUGCCUAGCCAAGGUGCUAUGUGCAGCUAUGCAUAUUCAAGGUUUUGGUCAUGAAACUCAGUCCCUAGUCUGACUUUUGUGAUGAGUUCCAACACAGUUGUCACCUUUACCAUGGCCCUUAAUGCCUGUCUACAGAAAGACAUGGCUUUUCUGCUGACUUACAGCCACAGUAUUUCCUACUUUCAUGCUGAAUUAUACCAGAAUGAUAAAACGUAUUUUCAUGGAAGAAAAUUGAGAAUUUAGUGAAAUACACUGCCUGCCAGCAGUUUGUAUGUUUCUUCUUCAUUUUGGUCUGAAUCUUUUGAUUUAGUUCUGCAUGAAAUCUCAAAGUUUUAAGAUCAGUAAGGGAAAGGCCUUAAGUUACCUGUUAUUGUACUUUUUGACAGAAGAUGUAAAUUGACAACCUGUAAUCAGAGUGACUUUACAAACAAACAAACAACAAAAAGACACCCCCACCCCACAAAACUCAAAUCAAACCAACCAACCAAACAACAAAAUAAACAAAACCGCCCACUUAAUUGGAAAUGUCCCAACAAAGACCAGAAACUAAGUCCUCAGUUAUCUUUCAAUGACUUUUAAAUUAUUGCACCCUGUCCUAAAGAAACAUGAACUUGUAUUUGACUAAAGGCACUAAUGUUGCAUAGAUUGGAUCUCCUAAAAUCUAGUUUCUUCCUUCCUUGGUACUCAUGUCAAUGUUAAAUACAGCUAUGAACUAGUGUAUUUAUGUCAAGAAGUUGACAAUGAUCUGUCCCCAAAGAACAGAGAAUAGCCAAUGUUGUCUAUAUACUCCUUCUUUAAUCCAACCAUGAAAUCAUUAGUUCACUUGCACCAAUCCAAUCCAUUGUGCAUCUUCUCAACCAACCUGACCUAUGGCAAUCAUUUGCAAGUGCUAUAAAUGUUUAUCUAUGACUGUUCCAGAAAUAGCUAAGUAUUAACAAAUACCACUAGUCAUUUUGUGAUGUAAUCUUCAUUUAUCUGUGUAACUAAUUCAAGAAGACUUUGGCCAUAAAAACCUAGAACUAAAAAUCCCAUUCUUGGCUUUCAGCCACUCUACAUUUGAAUGACAUUUCACAGUGAUUAAUAAAUUGUCCAUAUAAAU